rnacentral:rRNA from 1 species
AAAUUGAAGAGUUUGAUCAUGGCUCAGAUUGAAUGCUGGCGGCAGGCCUAACACAUGCAAGUCGAACGGUAACAGGAAACAGCUUGCUGUUUCGCUGACGAGUGGCGGACGGGUGAGUAAUGUCUGGGAAACUGCCUGAUGGAGGGGGAUAACUACUGGAAACGGUAGCUAAUACCGCAUAACGUCGCAAGACCAAAGAGGGGGACCUUCGGGCCUCUUGCCAUCGGAUGUGCCCAGAUGGGAUUAGCUAGUAGGUGGGGUAACGGCUCACCUAGGCGACGAUCCCUAGCUGGUCUGAGAGGAUGACCAGCCACACUGGAACUGAGACACGGUCCAGACUCCUACGGGAGGCAGCAGUGGGGAAUAUUGCACAAUGGGCGCAAGCCUGAUGCAGCCAUGCCGCGUGUAUGAAGAAGGCCUUCGGGUUGUAAAGUACUUUCAG